CCCAGACUCCUACGGGAGGCAGCAGUGAGGAAUAUUGGUCAAUGGCCGGGAGGCUGAACCAGCCAAGUCGCGUGAGGGAAGACGGCCCUACGGGUUGUAAACCUCUUUUGUCAGGGAGCAGGGUGCAGGUCGGGACCUGCUGUGAGAGUACCUGAAGAAAAAGCAUCGGCUAACUCCGUGCCAGCAGCCGCGGUAAUACGGAGGAUGCGAGCGUUAUCCGGAUUUAUUGGGUUUAAAGGGUGCGUAGGCGGGAUGCCAAGUCAGCGGUAAAAAUGUGGUGCUCAACGCCGUCGAGCCGUUGAAACUGGCGUUCUUGAGUGGGCGAGAAGUAUGCGGAAUGCGUGGUGUAGCGGUGAAAUGCAUAGAUAUCACGCAGAACUCCGAUUGCGAAGGCAGCGUACCGGCGCCCAACUGACGCUCAUGCACGAAAGCGUGGGUAUCGAACAGGAUUAGAUACCCUGGUAGUC
rnacentral:rRNA from 1 species